rnacentral:rRNA from 1 species
AUUGAACGCUGGCGGAAUGCUUUACACAUGCAAGUCGAGCGGCAGCGCGGGGGCAACCCUGGCGGCGAGCGGCGAACGGGUGAGUAACAUAUCGGAACGUACCCCGUCGUGGGGGAUAACACAGCGAAAGCUGUGCUAAUACCGCAUACGACCUGAGGGUGAAAGCGGGGGAUCGCAAGACCUCGCGCGAUGGGAGCGGCCGAUAUCGGAUUAGCUUGUUGGUGAGGUAAAGGCUCACCAAGGCGACGAUCCGUAGCUGGUCUGAGAGGACGACCAGCCACACUGGAACUGAGACACGGUCCAGACUCCUACGGGAGGCAGCAGUGGGGAAUUUUGGACAAUGGGGGCAACCCUGAUCCAGCCAUUCCGCGUGAGUGAAGAAGGCCUUCGGUUGUAAGCGUCUUUCAGCAGGAACGAACGGUAGGCGAC